AGCUCCCGGCUCAGUACAGGUCAGAUAAAAACUUUCGUGGGUACCAAAUUCUCCCCACACUGAAAAGAAAGGAGGUACCUUAGACAGUGGACUUGUCUGAUUUGAUGCACAAAGCUUAGUGCUCUACACCUCAAGCAGGUUUCAUUCUUGGUUCUGUGCUGCAAGUUGCRUAAAAUUUGUGCAUUAGAAUGGGARGGAAGGAYAGAUUUUUCAGUGUGMUAAAUAUCGAAAGAACUUCAGGUUUGUAAAGAGAUUAAUGCAACUGUCCAUCGGUCAUUUAUUGCAUUAUGCCAGAUAAGAAAAAACCUGUAUCGUGCUGCUCUACCCACAAUCCUCUUUGUUCUGGAUCUAACAUACAUAUGUAUAAUGGUUGUAUUCUUAUUUAGCAUGACAGUCAGUCCCAGAAUUUCAGCCUAUAAAUAUAUGUUCAAUUCAUCUGACAUAAAAUUUUCUACAUCAAAAUUCAGUAAUAGGGUUCCAYUGCUGAAGCUGACACUUAAAACUGAGUAUAGGCUCCUCUUUCCUUCUAUGUGUACAGUCAUUUUUACUGUGUUAUAUGAUCUCACUUUGUGAUGUUACCCAUUAUACCAUGUGCUUUUUAUAUGCACCAGUAUUUAUGGGGGUGGUGUGCUCAGCAAAGGUAAUUAAGCAUAAYAGAUGGUUGAACAGCAAAGUUUUCCACAUAUUUCAAAUCAAGAGUCCAAAAGUGAUCCAUUUGUAUUUUUUAAAUGGGAGAGAAUAGGAGGAGUCAUGGCACACACUGUAUGGUUCUUUGAAAAUAUCUGUGUAGUAAAACUUGCCUGGCUUGAAASAGAAGUCUUUUAAAAUGAAAGAAGAAUCAGAUAAAAUUUUAAAUUAUGGAUAUAAGUAAAUGUGAAAAUUUUAUCCCUCCUUUCUUAAACAAUUCUUAGCCAAAAAAAACUUCCUGCCUUUGUAAUAAGUGUCACUUCAAAGCAAAGACUAGUUUGUCAACAGAGUGCCUUACAGAUACUUUUAUAUCUUACAGACAAGAAAUACCUGAAAAAUAUUACUACAUUAAUCUUCUUGCCAUAAUUAAAAAAUAGUAGAGAAAUGGUGGAAUUUUUAGUACAAGUCCAUAGUAAUUUGAGAAAAUCUGUUUCAAUUUAUAACUACAGGUCCUCCAAAGAUAACAUAAGGUAAGGCAAAAUCUCUGUUAUUUCCAUUGGUGCUAUUAUAUGCAAUUUAAAUUGCAAUGAAGAACAAUCGUAACUAUUGCCCCACCAGGCCAGAAAUAUGGCAGAUCUGUUUUGAGUUUGAUGAGAGGAUGAGACCCUUUGGCCUGGUGUGUUACAGGAAUUGCUAAAUAUUGAGUAAAACCUGUUGUUUCGAGUGAAGUGUAAUGCAUAUAUAAAAUAGAAUUUUUAAGUGGCAUACUUAGAUUAGACUUUGCAUUAUUCUGUGGUAGUUCUUGAACAGCACCUGUUCAAAGRUGUAAAAAUCUCUUGGUGCUGGUAAUUUUGAAAAAUUUUGCUAUAGUAAUUCCAGUUUUUAAAUACAGAGAGUAAAACCUGUCCUGUUUUCAUCAGUGACUUACUAUUGAUGACAGAGACAGGUUUAUUUGCUUGAAACAGCAUGUCCUAAAGCCCAAGGACAAAGUUUUCAAACACACUAACCUGCAGAGAAGGUGUCUGACUUUCAGAAACGUUGAUCAGGCAGAGCCUUUAUGUAAAGUUCUUUAUUUUCAGAUUCCUGUAACCUUUACAGUAGCUUCAUACAGUGAACACUGCUUUURUGUUAUGUCAUAUGUGUGUCCUAAUUUAUUUAGGCACCCACAUUUGGAAACACCCAACCUCAAUUUCAGCUUGAAGUGAGAGCUAGUAAAUUCUGAUCUGUUGAACACAAAGGAAAUACAGUUUCAUAUCUAUUUUAGACUGURUUUUUUGAGAUUUACCUCAAGAUCACCAGUAUUCUGGUUUCAUGACAGAAUUGUGCCUGGCCCGCCUUGUAGAUUCAUAAUUAAAGAAACCCUGUAAUCAAAGCUUGUCUGAUGGAAUGUUAGAUUUAAGCAUCCAUGCUGGGAAGCAUACGCCCGACAUUUAUUACAUUACAAAGUAAAUUAUUUAGUUAGGGAGGAGAGCUGACAGGGAAGACACCUGUUGGAGCACGUUUGAGAAGCUUGCAAAGAAAUUAUAAUAAAGAAUAGAAGCAUUAUAUAAACCUACGAUAUUAUCAGCUCCUUUAGUACUGCAGUUACACAAAAGUUUUCUCUGUAAGGGCAGUGAUGAAGUGCAAGAUUUUAUAUUUUAAUAUAUUACAGGAUUUAACCACUAGAAUCUUUUAUAGCAUUUUAAUGAGUACUAAUACUUGAGUUUUAAGUACAGCRCUUCUGUGUUGAGUUGUUAAUAAGAAAAUACAUACUCAGACAGUUACGGCACUAAUUUUGGAUUUUGCUGUGAGAAUAAGGGAAAGAGGAUUAUUUGCAUGUUUGUUUGAAGUCAUUUUAGACAUAUGUAGCACAUGACUUAAGUCCCAUCCCAUGAGCAGAGAUAAGCAGGAGGUGAAUUAGCAGGAGUGUGGCUAGCAGGUCAAGGCAGGUUUGAUUUAUUCUGUUUGGCAGGUGGAGACCACAGCUGGAGUGCUCUACUCAGUUUKGGACUCCCUGUACAAGAAAGACAUUGACACAACGGAGCAGAUCCACCAUGGACCACCAGGUGAUAAAGGGAAUGGGGCACGUGGUGUGUGAGGAAAAGCUGAGCGAGCAGGGUUAGGUCAGCCUUAGGAAGAGAAGAAAUCCUAACAACAGACACAAGUGGCAUCAUGGGAAAUUCCAAUUAGAUAAGGAAAAAAAUCUUAAACUGCUGUCCCCAAGGAGAUGACGUUUGGUCUACGUGACCUCCAGAUGUUCAUUAUUCUAUUAAUUAUAUUUCAGUCAUACAACAAGCAUUUAUCUAGUCACAUAGCAGAAGGAUGAAUCCRGCUCUUGCGUGUCUCCAAGAGGCAACGUAGCCUUUCUGUGCUGACACUUUUGACACUAUUCAUKUUUACGUCUCCCUUGAUAAUACUGACAAAAGUUUUGCACAUAUUUUUAUGUUGGCUUAUAAGGCUAUGAAGUCAUAUAUUAAUAUUAAUUCUACAUUWAAUGUAUAAUAUUAAUAUUAACAUGUAUAAUGUAUUAAUACUAUACAUUACUAAUAUAUAUUAUCACAAUAUAUCCUAGUCAUGCAGUACACAGAAGAUUUGACAGAAGUCAGAUACAUUGAUUUGGCAUUACAGGCCUGGACUGAAAAGUGCAAGACCUGCUAUUUGGAGAGGCUGAACAUACCUUACAGGUAUGAGACAAUUGCAAAAUAUUUUGAGUACAGUUAUGAAACGUCAAAGUAAUUGAUUUUAAGCAGRCAAUGGGAAUAUUAAUGUAUUAUAUAAGUUACACAAGUGAUUAAAUGCCAGCAUACUCUGUAGGCCACUGGUGAAUGAGCAUGACCUGUUCCCAUCCACUCCCAACACUAAAAAAAAAAUCACUCAGGACUCAUCCGUACCACAGKUUCACAGUGCAGUGUAGAGAGACUCAGGACAGCUCAACAGAAUGCCAGAAGGAUCUACCUGAUCCAGGACAUGUGAAACGUGAAAACCUUCCUGCUGAGAACCCAUGAAAUACUUUAUCCUGGAUGGAACCUGUCCCAAAGACGAUCAGUUCAAGCUGUACCUGUGAGACUUUAACUUCCCCUGUAGCUUACGUGACUCAAAGAGCUCAUUUACCAUUAGCAGAUAAUUUUCUGUCUUUGGGUCAACAGUAGCCACACUUUCAAAUAUUCUGUGUCUCCCAAAAUGCUCAGCCAAACUGUUUCACCACUCCAGCUGCAGACAUCUCAUACCCACGAUAAACCAAAAUGGUUGCUACCAUGGUAAUAAGGCUAURAAGGCAGCUCCAACACCUGAUUUCAUCUUGCAUGUUACUCUCACCGAAUUUUUCACUCUUGCAACAGCAAGAUAUUUGAGCAUCUUAUUAACUUUAACAUGGAAAUCUGCUCUCAGAGUGAAAAGAGUUUAGAAUGAAAACUGGGYUUUACUUCCAAAUGAUUUUUUUUUGUUCAGGACCAUCAGCUUUCACUUCAGGAAGAAGAUAGUUUUGUCAGUACAGUUCAUUUCAUUUAAUGAAUGAGAAAAAGAAACAUUACUAUCCCAAACCAAGAAAAACACUCUACAGGAACGCUUCCUUCCCAUCAUGGAGYCAGCAGGUAUUCCCUUGGCUGGCAUUUUGAGAUCUGAGAGCCAAGACAGCUCUCCAGGCAUUGCACCAYGAUCAAGAAGAAUUCACUCAUGGAUGCACACAGAUUUCUUUACAACAAAGUAUGCAGAGGUUUUAGAAGAACAGAUCUUCCUCUUCUGGUGAAGAGCAUUUAGCCUCAGGAGACAAGGGCUGUGCAAGUUAUGGAGAGCAAUGCUAAGUAAGAUACAUUUUGCUUGUUGGGUUCUAUUGCUGGCUGUCUCACUGCUUAGAAAUUGUGGCAUAGGGUUGUAAAAUAAAGCUCAUUACAGCAUAUAAACCAGACAGUUAUUUUUAAUUGCCCCCAGUCUUUUCUGGGUCCCACAGUUACGGAUGCAYUGUGAGACUGAAAACAAAGCUGAACAUCAAAGUAAAGACAAACAAAACUAAAGGGAAGGAAGAACAGAAGAAACCAAGCACACRGAAGGUAGCUGUCUUUUAGAAUUAAUUAUGAUAGACUGGAACUCAUUUCUUACAAGCCAUUUGAAAGCUGCUUGAUAAUUAUAAAAAUAUUUAUAGGCCAAGUUGACUUCCUUUGCUUAUUUUUGGGAGACUGUAGAUGGUGUGUUCUUUAAGCAGCUUUGUCUGCCUGCUCGAAACCUCACUAUGUUUUGCAAGUUUUCCAGUUUCUCUGCUAAAAGGCUUAAACCUGAUCAAGAGCCUGUUUCUGCAAGUACUGCCAAGUAAUUGAAAUAGAGUAUUCACAGUAAUGUACUUUCUGACCUAAUUUCUCUGUAGGAUGCAAGCAWUACAGAUUAUUAUCUUUCCACUUGCAGACAGAGGUGUUGCAGCAGAUACUGUCAUCAAAAUCGGGCGAGGUACUGUAAGCACCGUUUUACCAUAUGGGGUAUUCUCUGUGGUGUUCMUUCUGGAUGCACAAAAUUGCCACUGCCUGAAAGCACUAAGAACAUUUGCAUUCAUUAAAUGUGUUCAGCAAAGCCAGUCCAGGUGGAUAAAACUGGAUUUUAAAAUCCACCACCUCUGCAGUGCUCACCACUUGUCAGUGUUACUGACACACAGAUUUGGGGGUGGUGGGUUAACUCCUACUACUAAAACACAGCCUUCUUUCCAACUCRGUUUUUCUGUUGAUUUCAGCUGAACCCGAUUCUUAUGGCAGACUUUAGWGGGCAGAUUUAUUCCACCUGCCUUUGGUCCCUCAGCAGAGAUACAUCAGCAAGGAACAGAGCUGUUCAAGGUCCCUCUGUAGAAAAGAGRAAGAAAGUGGUAUCUCUGCAGGACAAUUAACAUCCUGGCUGCUGUAAAAUUGCUCAGGAAAGUACCUUUCUAGCUCUGGUAGCUACAGUCAGCCUGUGGUGUGUAGGCUUCUGACUUGGGUGCUGCAGGGAGACUUGAAAAAUGGUAUGAAAUGUCUAAUUGUUCUUUUACUUGAAAUAUCUUAAUGUGUGUCUGCUUUGAUUUGGGCAUAAAAUGAUUGUCUCUUGAUUUCUGGUGUUUAAAUAACUUAAAAAAAUCACAGUCCUGUGUAAAUGUCUAAUGCUUUUGAGGUAUUUAAAUAAGUAUUAUGGCUACCWCUCCUGAAACUGAGGAAGGAAGUUACUUUGUUGCCCAGCUGUCUGGCAUUUUUACUAAAUUUCAACUUUUCUUCCAUAACUAUUGUGUUUCUAUCCUUCUCCUCUUCCUCCUUAUUUAACUUUGCCUCAUGCACAAAAUGUCAUUAGUACACCUCAACUAAAUUCUAAAUGAGGAUGAUGAAGCAUUAGGAACUGCUUGGACUUCUGUUCAAAUUGURGUGUAAAGGCCAGGGUGGAAAAGUUACUUAUUUUUCCUAAGAUGAUCCCUUUCAGUAAGUGYUCACAAGAAGUAAGGAAAGGCUGUGUAGGUAGGAAUUGCAGAGUCCUGUCAUACCUUACUAGAGAAAAAUGCACAUACAAUCUGUGCAAAGUUAGAGCUCCCAAUGAAAGUGCUGUGAGAGGCAGGUAUUUUGUGCCAGACUCMUCUCUGCCAACCACGAUUCAGGAUUCAUUUCUAAAGCUCAGGGAUUGUCACUCCAGACUCAGGGRAGCUCAUCUUUGAG